GAGGAGGGGUGCGUGCGUCUGGGGCUUGGGGAGGACAGGUCUUGCGCCCGCCGCUCACUCCCCCCGCCUAGCCUCGAUUUGGGGGGAGCGAGGGAAGCCCCUCUCCCGCGCAGCUCCACCCCGGCAGCCCCCGGCCCGCCUGGUUCUCGGGAGAGGCGGGACUCACGGCCUUCAGCUGCUCCAGCCGGUCCUUCAUCCUGGUGCCCAGGCGCCCGGAGGCAGGUGGGAGAGAGAUCAACUAGUUCUGCCUUGAAGAAGGGCAUUCCACGUAAAGGAAUGCGCACGGUCCCGGGGACUGCGUGUUGGAGCUGAAAGAGUGUGUUCCUCGUGGAAAUAACUGGAAGAAUCCAGGUGCAGUUUAGCUGAGUGCCUCUGCCUCAAGACUGCACUUAAGGUAUGAACUGCGGGCUACAUCUCAUCUCACGGCUUGACUGGGGAAGGAUCUGUUUCCAAAGUCGUCAUGUGAUUGCCGGCAGCAUUCAGACCCUCAAGGACUGUUCCUCACCCCUUGGGCCUCUUCAUAGGGCAGCUCACAACAUGGCAGCUGAAUUCCAUCAGACCAAGCAGGUGAGAGGAGAGAGAGAAACCAAAGUGUUUUUGUAACCUAAUCUCAGCUGUGACAUCACUUUUGCCACAUUGUAUUGACUAAAAGCGAAUCACUAGGUUCAGCCCACACUCAAGGGGAGGGGAUUACAUCAGGGAAUGAAGACCAGGAGCCAUCUCAGUGGCUGCCAAGAAUACAGUUCAAAUCCCAAAUUAAUGCCAAAGUUAUGCUAUUUCACCUCCUUAGAGCUCUCUUCUCCCCUGUAUCUGGACAACUCUGACCCAUUCUAGGAUUAAGUGUCCCUCAAACACGCUUCCAUGACACCCUGGACCACAUCACAGCCCUACCACGCUAUGCAAUUACCUGAUCUGCCUCCUGCACCUUCCAUGAACUCUGUGAGGUCAGCAGUCUUGUCUCUUCUCUUCACUGAUGUGAACCCAGACCCAAGCAUCAGCCCCAAAACAUAGUAGGUGCUCGGUUAGUGUUCACUAAACAUUAAAUGAAUCUUCUUGUAAUAUGGUUCCAUUAUGUCUUUCUUCUGAUUAAAAGUCAUCAGUGGCUCCUUAUUACAAGAGUAGGGAGGCCAGGCCCUUCUUAGAAUGGCAUUCAAGCCCUUCCCCAGCCUGGCCCCAGCCCCAUGUACUGUUACUCCCUGACACACACAGCCCCACCUUCAGCCUCAUCAAACACUCACCUCUUCUCUGCAUCUAAUGUGCCCAGAAUUUCCCACCUAUCUCUGCCUGAUUUGUCCUUUUUCCACUUCAUGUCUGACAAAUCCCUACUCCUCCUCAAGACAGGCCUUCUCCAGUUCACUCAGGUGGUCUUCUUGGCCCUCUGUCCUCCUGCCCCCAACAAUACUUGUUCAGAUCUAUUUUGAAAACAAACCCUGGGUUGUCUUAUAACUAGUUGCUUACAUACCUGUUGAGAGCAACGAGCAGGUAUUAUAUUUAUUCAUCUUCCAAGGGUACCGUGAGUAGGUGCACUGCAAUUAUUUGGAGGAUAAAUCAAAGAAUAGUUGACUACUAACACACACACACACACACACACACACACACACACACACACAAUCCCCAGGGAUUCUCCUCUCCUCUCCCUAAAGAGGAAGGAACAUCCUUCUUGGAUCUUAAAACUAAAUGUGGACUUCCCUGGUGGCACAGUGGUUAAGAAUCUUCCUGCCAAUGCAGGAGACACAGGUUUGAUCCGUGGUCCGGGAAGAUCCUACAUGCCAUGGAGCAACUAAGCCGGUGUACCACAGCUACUGAGCCUGCUCUCUAGAGCUUGAGAGCCACAACUACUAAGUCCAAGUGCCACAACUACUUAAGUCUAUGUGCCUAGAGCCCGUGCUCUGUAACAAGAGAAGCCACUGCACCACAACAAAGGAUAGCCCGCACUCGCCACAGCUAAAGAAAGCCCGCGUGCAGCAACAAAGACCCAAUGCAGCCAAUAAAUAAAUUUAUUUAUUUAUUAAAAAAAAAAAAAACUAAAUGCAAUUGCAACUCCCUGUGUCACUGAACUGUGUGUUUAAAAUAAUGUAUUUUAAAGACAUAGAGAACAGACUUGUGGUUGCCAGGGGUGGGGGGCGGGGGAGAGGAUGGGGAAGAGAUGGACUGGAAGUUUGGGAUUACCAGAUGCAAACUAUUUUAUGUAGGAUGGAUAAACAACAAGGUCCUGCCGUAUAGCACAGGGAACUAUAUUCAGUGUCCUGUAAUAAACCAUUACGGAAAAGAAUAUGAAAAAGAAUAUAUAUAUAUAUAUGUAUAACUGAAUCACUUUGCUGUACAGCAGAAAUUAACACCACACUGUGA